CAAUAGCGUAUAUUAAAGUUGCUGCAGUUAAAAAGCUCGUAGUUGGAUCUCGGGUGUAGGCUUGCGGUCCGCCUCGCGGCGGUCACUGCUCGUCCUGACAGCCUAGCUUCGGUGUGUCCCUUGGUGCUCUUGAUUGAGUGUCUCGGGUGGCCGGAACGUUUACUUUGAUGAAAUUAGAGUGCUUAAAGCGUGGGCGUUUCGCCCGUAUAAUGGUGCAUGGAAUGAUAGAAUAGGACCUCGGUUCUAUUUUGUUGGUUUUCGGAACCAGAGGUAAUGAUUGAGAGGGACAGACGGGGGCAUUCGUAUUGCAGCGUUAGAGGUGAAAUUCUUGGAUCGUUGCAAGACGGCCGACAGCGAAAGCAUUUGCCAAGAAUGUUUUCCUUAAUCAAGAACGAAAGUCAGAGGCUCGAAGACGAUCAGAUACCGUCGUAGUUCUGACCAUAAACUAUGCCAACUGGCAAUCCGCCGGAGUUACUACAAUGACUCGGCGAGCAGCCCCCGGGAAACCAAAGUUUCUCGGUUCCGGGGGGAGUAUGGUUGCAAAGCUGAAACUUAAAGGAAUUGACGGAAGG
rnacentral:rRNA from 1 species